AGGCCUAAGGACUAUUUAAACCCAAAAUCCGACUUGCAAUCAGACGUAUUACUAGACC
rnacentral:tRNA from 1 species